CACAAUUCAACAGACAUCUCUUUAUUGUUGUUAAAGUACUUGCUCUAUCUCCUGCCUCUGUUACUAACUUUCACACCAACCGAGAACGCAAGCGUUUACCUGGGCUCCAUCCUUGGACGGCGAACGGGUCGCGCAGGCUUCCGGCCUCCUCCUCCCUGGGGUUUGGUUCCAAGGCUCCCGCAAAAUCUCGAAAUCACCCCGGAUCGGCGCGGCCACCGAGGGAAGCAGCCCGGCUCUGAACAAGCCCAGGCAAGCCCAGGCAGAGCCCGCUUCGCGGUCCUUCCUCCUGCGCGAACCACCCGGCCCCGGGGCGAGAGACGCGUCUCUCUGGCCCCAGAUCCGUGGAGUCGUCUCUCUCCAGAGGACCGGGCGCUGGCCCUCUCCUCCACCUGAGAAGGACAAGGGAGCAGGCAUCGGGUCCCGGCCCCUCCACCGCUGCCGCCUGCGGGGACUGGUGCGUCCUCUGCGACAGCGCGGACAGCGCGGCGCCCCUCGUCUCCUCCCGGGGCGCGCUCCCGGAGCCGACGACCGGACUCCACGGCCAUCGCGACUCUUCCGGGAGCUUCUCGCCGCUCCGCGGCGGGACCGAAGCCCAGGCGGGCCGAGGGUGGCCUGUCCCCGGAGGCACAGAUGCGGACGCGGCGAGGCGCCGGGCAGCCCGUGAGGUGGUGAGGGACACAACUGAAGGACUAGGGUCUUCUUGGCCCCAUGAGACACCUGCAUCUUGCACUGGGAGAAGUUGGUCCUUGGCGGGAAGUGGCUGCUGCCCCAAGCAUGUCAUCACAUGCACACUGCGGGGAGCAAGUGAGGCCAGCUGUGAGCUGACCCCAUUUGACAGAUGACAGUCCCUAGCUCACAGGGAUGAGUCUGCAUGGAGCCCACGUUCCCAGCCUUUUCCAAGGAUUCUAGAAAAGUCCCAGAGAAGGAAAGAGCCGGUCAGAAUGCCCAGAUGCACUGGAUAGCUACCUUUCCCCACAUGGGCAGUGGGGCAGAGGACCAUUUCCCACCCACCCUCCCCCCAGGGUGGCCAUCACUGUACGGUAGCUUGAGUGGGGAAGGUCUUUGCAGAUCCUCAAAGAUUCAGGAGGAUUUAAUGAGGCCAAGGCUUCCCUUGUGGCUCAAACAGUAAAGAGUCUGUCUGCCAUGCAGCAGACCCGUGUUUGAUCCCUGGGUCGGAAAGAUCCCCUGGAGAAGGGAAUGGCAACCCACUCCAGUAUCCUUGCCUGGAGAAUCCCAUGGACAGAGGAGCAUGGUGGGCUAUACGAUCCAUGGGGUCACAAAGACUGAGCAAGUAACACUUUCUUUUCAAUGAGGUCAGUGGCUCUGGAGGUGGCACAGGCGACAGAAGGGAAAAGCUGGUUCUAAUUCUGAUUCUGUGUGUGACCUCGGGGAAUAAUAAUAAUAAAGCUAACUCACACUGAGUGCUCAGUGUGCCAGAAAGAAAGUAAGUGAAGUCGCUUAGUCUUGUCUGACUCUUUGUGACCCCAUGGACUGUAGCCUUCCAGGCUCCUCCGUCUAUGGGAUUUUCCAGACAAGAAAAUCCCAUAGAUGGAUUGUCAUUUCCUUCUCCAGGGGAUGGCUUCCCUGGUGGCUCUGUCUGCCUGCAGUGCGGGAGACACUGUGUGCCAGGCAUCAACCUAAAUCCACCCUAGAUAAUAAUCUCUUUCAAUUCUCUACACAGUCCUGUGAGAUACAUACCAGUACUACCCCAUUUCCAGGUGAGAAAGCUGAGGACCAGAAAGGUAAAACUUGGCCACCAUCACGAGGGGGAGAAUGAAGUGGAACCAGGACCCAUAUUCAUUCCUUUCUGACUCCCAAGCCUCACUCCUUAAGCAGCUGCAUCUGGCCUCAAUUUGGCAAAUUGCUUAGCCUCUCCACACCUUGGUGUUCUUGUGUGUACAGACAGCAUCAGGCUCACGGUAUGGACUCAAUAUAUGUUGGUGGAAUGAAUGAACGACCCCCACACCCCUCAAGGUGGUUGUAAAGACUGUAGUAAAUGGAGUUGCUGCACACAGCAGGCACUUCAUCAGCUUACCUAAGGAACCUCUGGAGCCCUGGGUCCAAGGAAGCUAUACUUCCCUGCUCCACACUUAUGGACGUUUGGGAGCAUUUCCAGCUGAGACCUCCACCCUCACUGGUCCUUUCUUCUCCCUUUCCUUUCAGAGCCACCGAAACGCCUUGACCUGGGCGGCUGACAGAUGAAGGAGUACAUUUGGGAGACUCCAGACUCCGUCAACUGUCAGUGAAAUUCAUGCAACUGAUAUGGAUACAGAACCCAUGGAUACAGAGGGGUGACUGUAUACUGGAACCCACCAAACUGUACUUUUAAGUGGUGAAAUUUACAGCGUCACGCUUGAUAAAUGCUAACUCCCCUGACUCAGAAGAUUCCUUGGUGGUCCAGUGGUUAAGACUUUGUGUUCCACUGCAGGGGUUGUGGGUUUGAUACCUGGUUGGGGAACUGUGAUCCCGUAUGCCACAGGAAACCAUAAAAAGAAAUAAAUAAAUUGGGCCAAGAUACAAAAGAAAAUCUAAUCCUGGUGUAGGUAACACAAGAGAGUCGGGCAUCCUGUGGCUGUUCUGCCUGGACACUGGCAGGUACUGACAAGUCCAAAGCAGCCUGUCUUUUAUGCCCUCGAAGACAGGACUGUGGUGACACGGGGUCUGAGACUGGACCCUGCAGAAGAAAGGGGGCUUGGUGGUGGGGAGGACUUGCCUAUUGCAACCCUGCGUCUGUGAAUGACAGAUGUUGCUGCCAUAUUGGUAAACAAGGAUGCUGCAACCUUCAAGCCACCACAUUACCAGCCACACAGACCAUAAGCCCUGAGGGAACUCAGGAUGGAGGCAGGAAGCACCCACUCCCCAGCUAGAAGUCAGCCGCUGCAGCCACCGCCAGGGGGUACCCUGAGGAGACUCAGGAUGAGAAAACACGGUAUUCUGGCCCAGAGAGCAGAGGGUAUACCAAGGAAUGACGUCAGCAAGCCCAGACUUUUGCAACUUUCCCAUGCAUAGACAAGCGCUAAAUUCCUUAACUUGAAAUGUCUGGUGUUCUUUAACAGUAAGGUAGCUCAGUGGUAAAGAAUCCGACUGCCAGUGCAUGAGACAAGGAUUCGAUCCUUGGGUUGGGAAGAUCCCUGGAGGAAGGCAUGGCAACCCACUCCAGUAUUGCCUGGGGAAUUCCAUGGACAGAGGAGCCUGGAAGGCUACAGUCCAUUGGGUCGCAAAAGAGUCGGACAUGACUGAACAACUCAACAACAACAAUAGCAGCAAUAUUUUGAUGUUCUGACUACUUGGUCUUUGUUGCAGAAACUCCUAUGUAUCCUGGCUCCUGGCUUGCCUCUUUGGAGCAGUCCCACAGAGCUAUCUGAGAGGUUAUGUCCUGGGCUUAAGUUCUUUAAAGAUGUCCGCCAAAUAAAACAAAACUCUCAGCUCUGA
ensembl:lncRNA